GAUUAUUUAAAUUUUAAGCAUAUAGAUUCAGGAUAUGCCUCAAAAAAAAAAAAAAAAAAAAAAAAAAACCACAAGGGUUUUUUUGUUUGUUUUUUGUAUAUAUAUAUUUUUCUUUUUUUUUUUGCUCUAUUUUAUUGGCUGAAGUGUAAAAAAAAAAAAUUAAAAGGAGCAGAAAAACCGAGUUAUGUUUUCCACUCUUAUUCUUUAGUAUAUUUCUUUUCAGUCUUUUUUUUU
rnacentral:lncRNA from 1 species